GACGAACGCUGGCGGCGUGCUUAACACAUGCAAGUCGAACGGAAAGGCCCUGCUUUUGUGGGGUGCUCGAGUGGCGAACGGGUGAGUAACACGUGAGUAACCUGCCCUUGACUUUGGGAUAACUUCAGGAAACUGGGGCUAAUACCGGAUAGGAGCUCCUGCUGCAUGGUGGGGGUUGGAAAGUUUCGGCGGUUGGGGAUGGACUCGCGGCUUAUCAGCUUGUUGGUGGGGUAGUGGCUUACCAAGGCUUUGACGGGUAGCCGGCCUGGGAGGGUGACCGGCGGCCAUUGGGACUGAGGACGGCCCAAGCUCCCACGGGGGGGCAGAGGGGGGAAUAUUGGAAGAAGGGCGGGAGGCUUGUGACACAAACGCGGGGGGCGGAAGGACGGCUUGCGGUUGAAAAACGGUUUUCGCCGGUAAGAAAGCGUGGGUGACGGAAUGGAAAAAAGAAGCCCCGCCUACUUACGUC
rnacentral:rRNA from 1 species